rnacentral:rRNA from 1 species
GACGAACGCUGGCGGCGUGCUUAACACAUGCAAGUCGAACGAAGAGCGAUGGAAGCUUGCUUCUAUCAAUCUUAGUGGCGAACGGGUGAGUAACGCGUAAUCAACCUGCCCUUCAGAGGGGGACAACAGUUGGAAACGACUGCUAAUACCGCAUACGAUCUAAUCUCGGCAUCGAGGAUAGAUGAAAGGUGGCCUCUACAUGUAAGCUAUCACUGAAGGAGGGGAUUGCGUCUGAUUGGCUAGUUGGAGGGGUAACGGCCCACCAAGGCGAUGAUCAGUAGCCGGUCUGAGAGGAUGAACGGCCACAUUGGGACUGAGACACGGCCCAGACUCCUACGGGAGGCAGCAGUGGGGAAUCUUCCGCAAUGGACGAAAGUCUGACGGAGCAACGCCGCGUGAGUGAUGACGGCCUUCGGGUUGGAAAGCUCUGUUAAUCGGGACGAAAGGCCUUCUUGCGAAUAGUGAGAAGGAUUGACGGUACCGGAAUAGAAAGCCACGGCUAACUACGUG